rnacentral:lncRNA from 1 species
AUGCCAACGAGAAGUGAAAGCUAUAGAUAUAACAGUUGCCUUGCAGAUACUCCAUAUCUUAUGGUACAAUUAUACUACAUGCUCAUAGCCAGUGUACUGCAUUAUUUUAUGUUCACAAGUCCAAGGAUGAUGACACUGAAUCUUUUUUUUUUCCUAUUCUGUUUCUCACUUAUUCAGACAUCCCUAGCUCAUAAGAAUAAGUGCAUUACAGAGCACAGGAUCUACCAGCAAAUGGAUACUCUAGUGUCCCUGGACUCCUGGAAGGGGAACUUUCUUCUUGGCUGGAUCCUGUUACAUAUAACUGAUUUGGGCAACAAUUUGAGAAUUCUGUGA